rnacentral:rRNA from 1 species
CUGCCGGACCCCACUGCUAUCGGGAUAGGACUAAGACAUGCUAGUUGAGCGCUUCCUAGCCAAUUUGGGAGCGCAGCGCACAGCUCAGUAACACGUGGCUAACCUGCCCUUGGGACGAGAACAACCCCGGGAAACUGGGGCUAAUUCGCGAUAGGUGAAGAACUCUGGAAUGAGUCUUCGCCCAAAAGACGUUGGGGUUAUGCUCUCCAACGCCGCCCAAGGAUGGGGCCGCGGCCGAUCAGGUUGUUGGUGAGGUAAUGGCUCACCAAGCCUUUUACCGGUGCGGGCCGUGGGAGCGGGAGCCCGGAGAUGGGCACUGAGACAAGGGCCCAGGCCCUACGGGGCGCAGCAGUCGCGAAAACUUUGCAAUAAGCGAAAGCUUGACAGGGCUAUCCCGAGUGCCAUCCGCUGAGGAAGGCUUUUACCCAGUCUAGAACGCUGGGGGAAUAAGGAGAGGGCAAGUCUGGUGUCAGCCGCCGCGGUAAUACCAGCUCUCCGAGUGGUGUGGAUGUUUAUUGGGCCUAAAGCAUCCGUAGCAGGCUAGGUUAGUCCCCUGUUAAAUCCACCGAAUUAAUCGUUGGAUUGCGGGGGAUACUGCUUGGCUAGGGGACGAGAGAGGCAGACGGUAUUUCCGGGGUAGGGGUGAAAUCCUAUAAUCCCGGGAAGACCACCAGUGGCGAAGGCUGUCUGCUAGAACGCGCCCGACGGUGAGGGAUGAAAGCUGGGGGAGCGAACCGGAUUAGAUACCCGGGUAGUCCCAGCUNGUAACGAUGCAGACUAGGU